GCUUACGGCCAUACCACCCUGAGCACGCCUGACCUAGUCUGAUCUCGGAAGCUAAGCAGGGCUGGGCUUGGUUAGUACUUGGAUGGGAGACUGCCUGGGAAUACCUGGUGCUGUAAGCC
ensembl:rRNA 5S_rRNA 5S ribosomal RNA